CAGUCGCCGCGGUAAUACGGAGGGGGCUAGCGUUGUUCGGAAUUACUGGGCGUAAAGCGCACGUAGGCGGCUUUGUAAGUUAGAGGUGAAAGCCCGGAGCUCAACUCCGGAAUUGCCUUUAAGACUGCAGAGUUAGCAGGUGAGAGAGGUGAGUGGAAUUCCGAGUGUAGAGGUGAAAUUCGUAGAUAUUCGGAAGAACACCAGUGGCGAAGGCGGCUCACUGGCUCAUACUGGACGCUGAGGUGCGAAAGCGUGGGGAGCAAACAGGAUUAGAUACCCCAGUAGUCCCUGUCUCUUAUAC
rnacentral:rRNA from 1 species